rnacentral:tRNA from 1 species
GGAUGUAACUCAGUUGGUAGCGUGCUUGCCUUGCAUGCCCAAGGCCCUGGGUUCGAUCCCCAGCACCA